UGGGGAAUAUUGGACAAUGGGCGAAAGCCUGAUCCAGCCAUGCCGCGUGUGUGAAGAAGGUCUUCGGAUUGUAAAGCACUUUAAGUUGGGAGGAAGGGCAGUAAGCGAAUACCUUGCUGUUUUGACGUUACCGACAGAAUAAGCACCGGCUAACUCUGUGCCAGCAGCCGCGGUAAUACAGAGGGUGCAAGCGUUAAUCGGAAUUACUGGGCGUAAAGCGCGCGUAGGUGGUUCGUUAAGUUGAAUGUGAAAGCCCCGGGCUCAACCUGGGAACUGCAUCCAAAACUGGCGAGCUAGAGUAGGGCAGAGGGUGGUGAAAUUUCCUGUGUAGCGGUGAAAUGCGUAGAUAUAGGAAGGAACACCAGUGGCGAAGGCAGCCAUCUGGCCUAACACUGACGCUGAGGUACGAAAGCAUGGGGAGCAAACAGG
rnacentral:rRNA from 1 species